UGUGGGUUGAACUGCUGGCAAAUUGUAUUCUCCUCUACUUUUUCAUCUGGCAUGGCUCACAUACCUUUGAGAUACCUCCAUCCAAAUUUGAAAUCAGAUCAUGCUUGCUUAGUUCGUUCAUCCCACGAUCUCCCAUAUGGCCUAGGCAGUAGUGCCGUAACUGGUGAGCCUCCUGUUGGUCCUGCGCUGCUGUUGCUGCAUCAGAUUCUCUAGUCACCAC
rnacentral:lncRNA from 1 species